UACGUAGGGGGCUAGCGUUGUCCGGAUUUAUUGGGCGUAAAGAGCGUGUAGGCGGCCAGGUAGGUCUGCUGUGAAAAUUCGAGGCUCAACCUCGAGACGUCGGCGGAAACCAUCUGGCUAGAGUCCGGAAGAGGAGAGUGGAAUUCCUGGUGUAGCGGUGAAAUGCGCAGAUAUCAGGAAGAACACCCGUGGCGAAGGCGGCUCUCUGGGACGGUACUGACGCUGAGACGCGAAAGCGUGGGGAGCGAACAGG
rnacentral:rRNA from 1 species